rnacentral:rRNA from 1 species
AGAGUUUGAUCCUGGCUCAGAUUGAACGCUGGCGGCAUGCCUUACACAUGCAAGUCGAACGGCAGCACGGGGGCAACCCUGGUGGCGAGUGGCGAACGGGUGAGUAAUAUAUCGGAACGUGCCCUAGAGUGGGGGAUAACGUAGCGAAAGUUACGCUAAUACCGCAUACGAUCUACGGAAAGAAAGCGGGGGAUCGCGAGACCUCGCGCUCCUGGAGCGGCCGAUAUCUGAUUAGCUAGUUGGUAGGGUAAAAGCCUACCAAGGCGACGAUCAGUAGCUGGUCUGAGAGGACGACCAGCCACACUGGGACUGAGACACGGCCCAGACUCCUACGGGAGGCAGCAGUGGGGAAUUUUGGACAAUGGGGGCAACCCUGAUCCAGCAAUGCCGCGUGUGUGAAGAACGCCUUCGGGUUGUAAAGCACUUUUGUCAAGA